UAACUUCAUUUAAAAAUCCAUAUAUAUAAUUACAUCACAGAUCUUAAACCUUGAUACUCAAUACCCGAAAUCCAUUACCGAUUGUUUCAAUACCUAGUAAAAGAAAUCAUCAUUUGUGGAUUUGUACAAAAAUAAUAUAAAAUGGGGAUUAGUAGAUUUGGGCUAUAGAAUUGUUAGAAGUCAGGGUCCACAGGGACAGCCCUCUAGCUGUUGUAAACCUUUUUUUCUAGUUUCUUCUUCUAUAUUUCCACCACCACCAUCCCAUCCCUUAUUCUCCAUUUUCUCUCCCUCUCAAAAACCAAAGCUCAAACCCUCAGGCUUCUUCAAGGUUGAUUGAUUACCAGGUUACAAGUUGUCAUCAUCAUCAUCAUCAUCAUCAUCAUGAUGGACAUAUUCUUCAAUAAACCUAAUACCAUCAUGGUUAUUGACAGCAUAUGCUUCAAAAGAGCAAUCUCCACCAUGGAUGUUGUUGAACAAUACUUACCAAGCUUCUUUACAACAAUGGCUUGUUGACCUCUCUCUUGGUGCUAUCCCACCUGAGCUUAUUUUAACAAUCCCCCCCUCCCCCAAAAAAAAAAAACUACCCUUUUUUUUAUUUCACCAUGGUUUCCUCUUCUUGACCUUGUAAGGCCUUUUCUUGACCUUGUAAGACCCCUACCAUCACCUACUACACUAAUCACCAAUAUCUUAAACCAUUUCUUAUCAGAAUUUUCCUUGAAAGAACUAAACAAUUAGUACCCACUGUUCCCACCUAACUCAUCAUCUCCUUCCCUGUCUAUCCCUCCUGAGCUACCAUGUCACAAUAAAAAAACUAGAAUAUUAUUUACCUUACAAAAAUGGCAAUGGCAUCAUGCAGUCAAAGGAGCUUCAUGGGUUUUAGUUUUACUUCCAUUUUACUGAAAUGAUUGUUGGGCUAUAAGCAGUCAUUUCAGAAAAAAAAAAGACCAUUGAAUUCUAGUUUGUAUUCUUAUGUAUGUGCCUGCAGGAAAAAACAUAUUGAAACUCAUGCAGGAGCUGUCAGACUGUUUGACAUUUUGUUUAUCAUUAAAUGAGAUUUUUUUUUGAUUUUUCACCA